rnacentral:rRNA from 1 species
UACGUAGGUGACAAGCGUUGUCCGGAUUUACUGGGCGUAAAGAGCGCGCAGGCGGUCGUUCAAGUCGAGUGUGAAAGCCCCCGGCUCAACUGGGGAGGGUCACUCGAUACUGAUCGACUUGAAGGCAGGAGAGGGAAGCGGAAUUCCCGGUGUAGUGGUGAAAUUCGUAGAUAUUCGGAAGAACACCAGUGGCGAAGGCGACUUACUGGACACAUAUUGACGCUGAGGUGCGAAAGCGUGGGGAGCAAACAGG